rnacentral:tRNA from 1 species
GGAGGUGUGGCCGAGUGGUUUAAGGCAGCGGUCUUGAAAACCGCCGACUCGCAAGGGUCCUAGAGUUCGAAUCUCUACGCCUCCGCCA